ACUCGGAAGCAGCAGAACGCAACAUUGAAAUUUCAGGUUGCAAAGCAGGAGAAGAAGCUCACUGAAAUUGAGUCAAAGGUAAACGAGAAUGACCGGAUAGUUGGAGAUGGAAUCUUUGAAUUUAUGGAAUAGCAGAAAAAUCUGACAAGAAUAUUGAAAGCAAGAGUGAAGGACAUUUGCAGGGCAAUAAUGUUGCAGGUUCUCUGGCUGUAGUGCACCGCCUGGGUAGGCUGAGAGAUGGGGAAAACGACCAGUGAUCACGAGAUUCAUCUCCAGGACAGCGAGGGAUAUGACAUGGAAAAGUGCAAAGAAAAAUGACUAUUUAAAGAAGAACAACCGGAAGUUCAAGGAUGAUCUGACAGCAUUUGACAAAUAAACUCGGAAUCGUCUGUGGUCGAUGAUUUAGAGAGCAAGGAAGGUAGGGAAAAGUGCAUACUUUGCGGGAGUCAAGGCUUUUGAUAAUGGAAGGGAAAUUCCCGCUGACUACUAGCUUGUUGACUGCUGGAUUUAUCAAGACCAUUCACACAGUCCAGUCAGUCACACAGUCCAGAAGCUCGGGCCUACCCUACUUCCUCCUACAACACCCUGAUGAGAAG